UGGGGAAUUUUGGACAAUGGGCGAAAGCCUGAUCCAGCAAUGCCGCGUGUGUGAAGAAGGCCUUCGGGUUGUAAAGCACUUUUGUCCGGAAAGAAAUCCUUGGCUCUAAUACAGUCGGGGGAUGACGGUACCGGAAGAAUAAGCACCGGCUAACUACGUGCCAGCAGCCGCGGUAAUACGUAGGGUGCAAGCGUUAAUCGGAAUUACUGGGCGUAAAGCGUGCGCAGGCGGUUUGCUAAGACCGAUGUGAAAUCCCCGGGCUCAACCUGGGAACUGCAUUGGUGACUGGCAGGCUAGAGUAUGGCAGAGGGGGGUAGAAUUCCACGUGUAGCAGUGAAAUGCGUAGAGAUGUGGAGGAAUACCGAUGGCGAAGGCAGCUCCCUGGGCCAAUACUGACGCUCAUGCACGAAAGCGUGGGGAGCAAACAGGAUUAGAUACCCUGGUAGUCCACGCCCUAAACGAUGUCAACUAGUUGUUGGGGAUUCAUUUCCUUAGUAACGUAGCUAACGCGUGAAGUUGACCGCCUGGGGAGUACGUCGCAAGAUUAAAACUCAAAGGAAUUGACGGGGUCAUA
rnacentral:rRNA from 1 species